rnacentral:rRNA from 1 species
UACGUAGGGUGCGAGCGUUGUCCGGAAUUAUUGGGCGUAAAGGGCUCGUAGGCGGUCUGUCGCGUCGGGAGUGAAAACUCAGGGCUUAACCCUGAGCCUGCUUCCGAUACGGGCAGACUAGAGGUAGGUAGGGGAGAACGGAAUUCCCGGUGUAACGGUGAAAUGCGCAGAUAUCGUAAGGAAUACCAGUGGCGAAGGCGGCUUUCUGGGCCUGUUCUGACGCUGAGGAGCGAAAGCGUGGGGAGCAAACCGG